rnacentral:rRNA from 1 species
UACGAAGGGGGCUAGCGUUGCUCGGAAUUACUGGGCGUAAAGCGCACGUAGGCGGAUUGUUAAGUCGGGGGUGAAAUCCUGGAGCUCAACUCCAGAACUGCCUUCGAUACUGGCGAUCUCGAGUUCGGGAGAGGUGAGUGGAACUGCGAGUGUAGAGGUGAAAUUCGUAGAUAUCAGGAAGAACACCCGUGGCGAAGGCGGUUCUCUGGGACGGUACUGACGCUGAGACGCGAAAGCGUGGGGAGCGAACAGG